rnacentral:rRNA from 1 species
UGCUGCAGUUAACGCUCGUAGUUGGAUUUCGGGCGGGGCCUGCCGGUCCGCCGUUUCCCGUGCCUGGCAGGGCCCACCUUGUUGCCGGGGACGGGCUCCUGGGCUUCACUGUCCGGGACUCGGAGUCGGCGCUGUUACUUUGAGUAAAUGAGAGUGUUCAAAGCAGGCCUACCCUCUGAAUACAUUAGCAUGGAAUAACACGAUACGACUCUGGCCUAUCCUGUUGGUCUGUCGGACCGGAGUAAUGAUUAAGAGGGACAGUCGGGGGCAUUCCUAUUUCAUUGUCCGAGGUGAAAUUCUUGGAUUUAUGAAAGACGAACUACUGCGAAAGCAUUUGCCAAGGAGGUUUUCAUUAAUC